rnacentral:rRNA from 1 species
UACAGAGGGUGCGAGCGUUGUCCGGAAUCACUGGGCGUAAAGGGUGCGUAGGUGGUGAGGUAAGUCGGAUGUGAAAUCUCCGGGCUCAACCCGGAAACUGCAUUGGAAACUACCUUGCUGGAGGGUUUGAGGGGGGACUGGAAUUCUCGGUGUAGCAGUGAAAUGCGUAGAUAUCGAGAGGAACACCGGUGGCGAAGGCGAGUCCCUGGAAAACACCUGACACUGAGGCACGAAAGCUAGGGGAGCAAACAGG